GAUGAAGAACGCAGCGAAACGCGAUAGGUAAUGUGAAUUGCAGAAUUCAGUGAAUCAUCGAAUCUUUGAACGCAUCUUGCGCUUGCUGGUAUUCCGGCAAGCAUGCCUGUUUGAGUGUCAUGAAACUUAUCAACCGUGACUUGGGUUUAGGCCCCUGGCUCGGCUUGGAUUUGGGUGCUUGCGGCCUCGUGCUGCUCACCUUAAAAGGAUUAGCUGGACAUGUCGUGAGACUUGGUUCUACUUGGCGUAAUAAGUAUUUCGCUGAGGACAUCCCCUCGUGGGGUGGCCAAGACUCUAGUGCAAACGUCUGCUUUCUAACCCGAUCGUCCUCGGACAUCACUUUUUAUGAUCUGGCCUCAAAUCAGGUAGGACUACCCGCUGAACUUAAGCAUAUCAAUAAGCGGAGGA
rnacentral:misc_RNA from 1 species